GGGGAUGUCAAGGCUUCGACAUGAUUAAUUGACGACCAAAGGCAGUGGGGUAUGCCCCUUAUAGCUACGAGGCCGCUUAAAUGCAGACUCAAGAGAAGAUAACGUUAAUUUAGACGAAGCAUUCCUAGUUAACCAGUUAUCAACCCAAAAUCAACUUAACUACAAUUUUGUAGCUUAGGCCUUUGGGUCUCCGGGUGUUAGGGUUUACUACUUACCUUAAUACGUUAUGAUAAGUAGCUAUAUCAGACUGACGCUCAUAGGUUUGAUGAAUCAUUUGAGCUUAGCUAGACUACAGUUGUUCUAAUACUGAAUGUCUAGUGAAGUGCUAAAUUAGAACUAAACUGUAGAAUUUGGUCGAAGAUUCUUUGUGGAAACGGGUUCGAUUCCCGUCAUCUCCACCA
rnacentral:tmRNA from 1 species